GCAGACACAUUCCAGCCAAUCAGCAGCAGACCCUCCCUCUCAGACCCUCCCACCUCCUGGACAGCUCACUAAGAAUGCAGCUUCACAAUGAAUGUAAAAUGGAUGCUGUCCAGGAGGUGGGAGGGUCUGGGAGGGAGGGUCUGCUGCUGAUUGGCUGGAAUGUGUCUG